CUACGGGGCGCAGCAGGCGCGAAACCUCUUCAAUGCACGACAGUGUGAAAGGGGGAUCCUAAGUGCUCAUGUUAUUCAUGGGCUUUUGUAUAGUGUAAAUAGCUAUACGAAUAAGGGGUGGGAAAGACCGGUGCCAGCAGCCGCGGUAACACCGGCGCCCCGAGUGGCAAUCAGAUUUAUUGGGCCUAAAGCGUUCGUAGCCGGAUUAUUAAAUCUUUUGUGAAAUCAAUUGGCUUAACCAAUUGGCCUGCAGAAGACACUGAUACAUCUUGGGACCGGGAGGGGUUAGAAGUAUUCUGAAGGGAGCGGUAAAAUGUUGUAAUCUUCGGAAGACUACCUGUGGCGAAGGCGUCUAACUAGAACGGGUCUGACGGUGAGGAACGAAGGCUAGGGGAGCAAACCGGAUUAGAUACCCCAGUAGUC
rnacentral:rRNA from 1 species